ACGAACGCUGGCGGCGCGCCUAACACAUGCAAGUCGAACGAGCGAGAGGAGGUUUACUUUCUCAAGCGAGUGGCGAACGGGUGAGUAACGCGUGAGGAACCUGCCUCAAAGAGGGGGACAACAGUUGGAAACGACUGCUAAUACCGCAUAAGCCCACGACCUGGCAUCGGGUAGAGGGAAAAGGAGCAAUCCGCUUUGAGAUGGCCUCGCGUCCGAUUAGCUAGUUGGUGAGGUAAUGGCCCACCAAGGCGACGAUCGGUAGCCGGACUGAGAGGUUGAACGGCCACAUUGGGACUGAGACACGGCCCAGACUCCUACGGGAGGCAGCAGUGGGGAAUAUUGCACAAUGGGGGAAACCCUGAUGCAGCGACGCCGCGUGGAGGAAGAAGGUCUUCGGAUUGUAAACUCCUGUUGUUGAGGAAGAUAAUGACGGUACUCAACAAGGAAGUGACGGCUAACUACGUGCCAGCAGCCGCGGUAAAACGUAGGUCACAAGCGUUGUCCGGAAUUACUGGGUGUAAAGGGAGCGCAGGCGGGAAGACAAGUUGGAAGUGAAAUCCAUGGGCUCAACCCAUGAACUGCUUUCAAAACUGUUUUUCUUGAGUAGUGCAGAGGUAGGCGGAAUUCCCGGUGUAGCGGUGGAAUGCGUAGAUAUCGGGAGGAACACCAGUGGCGAAGGCGGCCUACUGGGCACCAACUGACGCUGAGGCUCGAAAGUGUGGGUAGCAAACAGGAUUAGAUACCCUGGUAGUCCACACUGUAAACGAUGAUUACUAGGUGUUGGAGGAUUGACCCCUUCAGUGCCGCAGUUAACACAAUAAGUAAUCCACCUGGGGAGUACGACCGCAAGGUUGAAACUCAAAGGAAUUGACGGGGGCCCGCACAAGCAGUGGAGUAUGUGGUUUAAUUCGACGCAACGCGAAGAACCUUACCAGGGCUUGACAUAUAGAUGAAUAUAUAAGAGAUUAUAUAGCUUUUCGGAGCAUCUAUACAGGUGGUGCAUGGUUGUCGUCAGCUCGUGUCGUGAGAUGUUGGGUUAAGUCCCGCAACGAGCGCAACCCUUAUGGUCAGUUACUACGCAAGAGGACUCUGGCCAGACUGACGUUGACAAAACGGAGGAAGGUGGGGAUGACGUCAAAUCAUCAUGCCCUUUAUGACUUGGGCUACACACGUACUACAAUGGCGUUAAACAAAGAGAAGCAAGACCGCGAGGUGGAGCAAAACUCAGAAACAACGUCCCAGUUCGGACUGCAGGCUGCAACUCGCCUGCACGAAGUCGGAAUUGCUAGUAAUCGCAGAUCAGCAUGCUGCGGUGAAUACGUUCCCGGGCCUUGUACACACCGCCCGUCACACCAUGAGAGUUGGGGAUACCCGAAGCCUGUGAGCCAACAGUUAAAUGGGGCAGCAGUCGAAGGUAGAAUCAAUGAUUGGGGUG
rnacentral:rRNA from 1 species